rnacentral:lncRNA from 10 species
AGGGAUGAUGGUGGCCUGGAGACCCUUGAGGGGCAGAAACAGUGGCUUACUCCUGUGCUUCUGUGGUCUGUUUCCUCACUUUGCCCCAUCCAUCAAGUGUUGAGGCUCGGUGGAGUUGAGCUUCCUUUUCCCUCCAUCACUCACAUCCCACUUCCCAUCACCUGCUUCCAAGCAAGAGAACUCCAGGUUACUGGCCUCCGGCAGCAGUCCAGCUGUUACCAGUAAACUGGAAGCUGACGUCACUAACAAGCAUUCAGGGAGCACCAAGAAGCAGACCAGAGGUCUCCUAAGCUUGACUCCUCUUCGGCAUGAGACUAAGGAAGCUCCCCAAGUUCCAGUCAGAGCUGGAAAAAGGUCUCGUUUGUAAUGAGCAGUGGAGUGUGACAGCCUCUGACUGUUUCUUUGACCAUAUAUAGGAAUGAUCACCGUGAUAAUAACAGCAGUGACAACAAUCCCCGGAUAUUGGGCUUUUCAUUUCCAAGAGAGAAAUAGGAAGCACAUGCAUUUGGCCAGGAAGAAGACUUCAGCUAUUGAUGGGAGGGCCCUCUUUCUAGAAGGCAGAGAACAAUGGACUAGCCAGACAGGAAGGAGAGAGGCCCAGAGCGCAGUAAGGAGUGGGCAUCUGGGACCCAGGGUUGGGAAGAACACUUCUGUUUGGCUUCCUUCCUCUUCUAGGGCAUGGCUAAGGUGGCCAACCUGCAUGCACCCCAGAAGAGGAAGAUAAGUAGGCCCAUGGGACUUUAUUAUGGAGCCUGAGGCUUUCACUGGCCUGAUUAAUCCAUUUUCUGGGAAUGAGCACUUUGGGAGGAUAACAAUCAAAGGAUCCCCAGAGGACACGUGACAGGCUGGGGCCAUCAGAACUACUGAUCCGUGGGUACUAUCCGGCUUACUGAAUUAUGAAACACAGGUUAAAUUAAGGGUUGUCACACAUUUGGCUAAUUGGCCAAUAAGAACAGCAAUUAAUAGAGGUCAGGCAAUUCAACUGCAUCUGUGGCCAUGACUAUCAGAGCCCUUGGAAACAGCAGUGAUUUCAAGUGAAAUCUAAAUCAGCAGUGUUUCAGGUGACCUAGAGCAGGGCCCACGGCCCAUAGCCCAUAUGUUAGCACUUCCUGAAGGUUUUCUUCCACCCAAAUCCACAUGUUGGGACCCAGGGGAAGGUGUAGCAAAGCCAGUGACCACUGUGUAAUCUUUGUUUUUUCUAUUUGACACUUUGUCAAAAAACACAUUCCUGUUUUCAUAGACUUCUUUUGAUUUUGAGAAAUUUAAAAGAUACAGAAAAGUAUGAAGAAUGUAAAGACACUAUAUUCCCACCACUAGACAUAAGAACUAGUAAUAUUUUGUACCAUCUCCUGCUAGCCUCUGCCCUCCUUCUAAGAAAUGAAACUACCACCCAUUUCUCAUUCCCCAUCCCCGGGCACAGCAAUGUUCAUGGGUUUGGUCGGUUUGUAUGUUUGGUAUCAUUUUAGAUACUUUGAUAUUCAUCUUAUAUCGAUAUAACAAAUAUACUACACUUUUAUGUGUAUAUGAAUAUUUAAAUAUAUAACAGAUAAAAACACAUGCCAUUUGUAAAUAUGCCAUGUAAAAACUGAUGGUGCUUAAUAAAUAUUUGUUGAAUGUCCAUCUAUAAACAAUGUAUUUGUGUGUUUUUAAUGUACAUGGUAUCAUACAAUUUUUAUCAUUCUGCAUAAUCC